rnacentral:rRNA from 1 species
GCACGACUAGACAACAGUAUAACCUUUUGAGGUAAAACCAACCUGGGCUGUAAAAAGCCAUAAGCCCCACGAACAUUCCCCCUCAAACCCUAAACCACUUCAACUCGUGAAAAUAGGAAUACAAACUAAGAUUAGAUACCUUACUAUGCCUAACCUAACACACAAUUAAACCACUAAUUGUCCGCCAAAUAACUACGAGUUAAAACUUAAAACUUAAAAGACUUGACGGUACUUCACACCACCCUAGAGGAGCCUGUCUAAUAACCGAUACCCCACGAUUAACCCAACCCGCCCUAGCCUAACAGUCUAUAUACCGCCAUCGCCAGCUCACCUUGUGAAAGAAACAAAGCGAGCCUAAUAGUCACCACUUAUACGAUAGGUCGAGGUGUAACUAAUGAGCGGGAUAAGAUGGGCUACAUUUUCUAACACAGAAAAUACGAAUAGACUACGAAAAUAGAAACCGAAGGCGGAUUUAGCAGUAAGUUGGGGACAACAAGCCUAACUGAAAUAAACGCAAUGAAGUGUGUACACACCGCCCGUCAUCCCUGUAAAAAAAACAAUAAACUUCAUAAACAUAAAAUACUAAUUAACAGGGCAAGUCGU